CAUUUCCGCAGCAGGUCUCCAAGGUGAAGAGCCUCUAGUCAAUAGACUAAUGUAGGUAAGGGACGUUGGCAAAUUGGAUCCUUAACUUCGGAAUAAGGAAUGGCUCUGAGGAACGGGGCGUGUCGUGCUUGGUCGGGAAACGGGUCUGGCUGACGUGCCGGGCCUGGGCGUGGUGAACGCUAGGCUUUCUCGCGCCGAACACGGGAUCCGAGCUCGGUCCCGUGCCUUGGCUUCCCGCGGAUCUUCCUUGCUGCAAGGCUCCCGUGGCGGCGCGAGCCGUCGCAGUCGUCCUCUUCGGCCGCCUUUCAACGCUCAGCUCAGACCUGGCACGGACUAGGAGAAUCCGACUGUCUAAUUAAAACAAAGCAUUGCGAUGGCCCUCGCGGGUGUUGACGCAAUGUGAUUUCUGCCCAGUGCUCUGAAUGUCAACGUGAAGAAAUCCAAGCAAGCGCGUGUAAACGGCGGGAGUAACUGUGAUUCUCUUAAGGGUCAGCCUCCUCAGCUCUUGAUACCCACUCAGUGGAUUCUUUGAGCUGUGGACUAAGCCCCCUUACAGCGAGUCGUAGUUGGAACGCAAUGCGCAACGU
rnacentral:ncRNA from 1 species